rnacentral:rRNA from 1 species
CGGCUCUGCACGCUGGCUUAUGCUGAUCGCCGGCUUCUUAGAGGGACUAUCAGCAUCUAACUGAUGUGAAGUUGGUAGCAAUACCAGGUCUGUGAUGCCCUUAAAUGUUCGGGGCCGCACGCGCCCUCCACUGACAAAGCCAGCGAGUUUAUAACCUUGGCCGGAGGGCCAGGGAAAUCUUGUGAAACUCUGCCGGGUUG